UCCCAGACUCCUACGGGAGGCAGCAGUGGGGAAUAUUGCACAAUGGGGGAAACCCUGAUGCAGCAACGCCGCGUGAGUGAAGAAGUAUUUCGGUAUGUAAAGCUCUAUCAGCAGGGAAGAAAAUGACAGUACCUGACUAAGAAGCCCCGGCUAACUACGUGCCAGCAGCCGCGGUAAUACGUAGGGGGCAAGCGUUAUCCGGAUUUACUGGGUGUAAAGGGAGCGUAGACGGCACGGCAAGCCUGAUGUGAAAGCCCGCGGCCCAACCGCGGGACUGCAUUGGGAACUACCGGGCUGGAGUGCCGGAGAGGUAGGCGGAAUUCCUAGUGUAGCGGUGAAAUGCGUAGAUAUUAGGAGGAACACCAGUGGCGAAGGCGGGCUGCUGGACAGCAACUGACGCUGAGGCGCGAAAGCGUGGGGAGCAAACAGGAUUAGAUACCCCGGUAAA
rnacentral:rRNA from 1 species